AUUCCAAAGUUUAUAAUAUUUUCUUUUAUAAAGUAAAGUAGUGAAAAAAAAAUAUGGCCAAAAUUGUGAUGAAAUCUGCUUCUUUUGUUGCUUUGUUGCUGAUCAUCAUGGUUGCAAAUAGUACUCCCAUUGAGAUGCUUUCUGGUCUGAAACACUGCAACAAAUCUGGUGAAUGUUUCAAAAUUUGUAGAGUUCCAGCCAUUUGUGUUGCACAUCAAUGCAUUUGCCUUAAAGAUUCAAAGAUGUUUGAAAUGGAUGGUGGUGUGAAACCCAAGAAUUGAUGACGUCGGGAUAAAAAUUUAUUCACGCUCGAUGUUUACAUUUAUAUUGCAUUGGGUGUGGGAUAAGUUUUUAGUAUCGUCGAUGUAUCGACUCUUGUCUAUGUAUGUUUCAAUUUCUUAAAUAAAUGUGGACUUCAAAACUAUUAUGUUAA